rnacentral:rRNA from 1 species
UACGUAGGGUGCGAGCGUUAAUCGGAAUUACUGGGCGUAAAGCGUGCGCAGGCGGCUUCGCAAGUCAGGCGUGAAAGCCCCGGGCUUAACCUGGGAAUUGCGCUUGAAACUACGGUGCUGGAGUGCGGCAGAGGAAGGUGGAAUUCCACGUGUAGCGGUGAAAUGCGUAGAGAUGUGGAGGAACACCAAUGGCGAAGGCAGCCUUCUGGGUCGACACUGACGCUCAUGCACGAAAGCGUGGGGAGCAAACAGG